rnacentral:lncRNA from 10 species
AAUCCAGGAUUAUCUGACUUUGUAGCUUGAAUUUCUAGGGUCAUUUCUGGAAUCACGGAGAGAGAUCUUCUGCAUCCUUUCUAUUCCAUCGCCCACACCCCCAACCCUAAUCUACUCCUGGACAACAAAGGGUGCUCUUGUUCACUGAGAUGCACGGCCCUAUUUCCACCUUCUGUGCCUCUCUUGGGUCCCCAAGUCUCUACCUGAACAACUGCAAAGGGAAUCCUUUCCCUCCUUUGGCCUGGAGACUGUUGGGCAGGACUGGGAGAGGAUAGUGGGUGGAAUCUUUUGUCCACUGUCAACAAAUAUUAAAAUGUCUCAGACUAGUUGGAAGUUAUUUUCCCUUCUUUGUUAUGUGAGAUUGAGGUCCCUAAAGUGCACAGUCUCAUUUCAGAUCAGCCACUGCAAAGUUUGGUUCUAAAUCCUGGAAGGACUUCUCAUGCUUUCCAGGAACAAUUGUUGGGACUGAUCCAUGACAGCCCUGGCCUGUCUCAGUCUUCUUUUUUUUCUUUUCUUUCUUCCUUUUUUUUUUUUAAGAGAUGAGGAAGUCCGGGCAUCGUGGCUCAUGCCUGUAAUCCCAACACUUUGGGAGGCUGAGGCAGGCAGAUAGCUUGAGGCCAGAAGUUUG